GCCCCCGUUGUCUAAUGGUUAUGACGUCAGACUUCUAUGUUUUCUAUAGCGAUCUGGAGGUUCCGGGUUCGAAUCCCGGUGGGGGUU
rfam:Plicaturopsis crispa FD-325 SS-3 unplaced genomic scaffold PLICRscaffold_1, whole genome shotgun sequence.